rnacentral:rRNA from 1 species
UACAGAGGUCCCAAGCGUUGUUCGGAUUCACUGGGCGUAAAGGGUGCGUAGGCGGCGGGGUAAGUCAGGUGUGAAAUCUCGAGGCUCAACCUCGAAACUGCACUUGAUACUGCCUUGCUCGAGUACUGGAGAGGAGAUUGGAAUUUACGGUGUAGCAGUGAAAUGCGUAGAUAUCGUAAGGAAGACCAGUGGCGAAGGCGAAUCUCUGGACAGUUACUGACACUGAGGCACGAAGGCCAGGGGAGCAAACAGG